GAUACACGUAGUGAAAUGAUGACCACGGUGGAAUUAUGUGGUUUGAAUGGGGCCGGAAUGGCUGGCUUUGAGGCUGCUAGGGAGGAAGCUGGCCACAGGAUGGCACCAUUGGCCCAGGAAUGGGAGAAACCUGAGAUGACUCUGGCAGGACAGCUGCUGCUCAGAGCCCACUGAGAAUACAACCAAUUAAAUGGGGAAAUACGGGAGAAGACCUCCACAGCAGGGAAGCAUGAGUCCAUCAGAAGAAUAAACAGACACGAAAUGACAGGGGGCUACUGCUUCUCGCUCCCUAAGCUGUUUAUCCUGAAUGAAAAACACUAGAAAAAUUCCACUUUGCAAAGGCUGCGCCCCUACCAUGCUCAUAAUGAAUACCAGAGGAAAAACCCUGAAGUGUGUUCAGCUGAGACCACAUCUACCUAGAGUUUUUUCUAACAAGCUUUGUUACCUGGGGCUUCAAGACCCAUUUAACCCACUCGACAUGUGGAGUCGGAUGCAGGAGUCUCUGGAAUGACGUUACCAUCACAGAGCAAGCCAUCUGCAGCCCGCCCAGCCUGCAUGGUACCCCUCCAGCCCCUACAGAUGCAGAAGGUUGAGCAAGCUAGAAACCACUGGAAAAAUCAUCGGAAAAAGCAAGAUCUGCUUCCAGCAAAAUCCCAGCCAACAACAAGAUGGAAUGAUUUGAUGAUGAAACUGAGCACCAUUCGGACUGUACGAGCUGGAUUUUAU
rnacentral:lncRNA from 10 species